GAUGAACGCUAGCUACAGGCUUAACACAUGCAAGUCGCGGGGCAGCAUGGGGGUUGCUUGCAACCCCUGAUGGCGACCGGCGCACGGGUGAGUAACGCGUAUCCAACCUGCCCUUCACCACGGGAUAACCCGGCGAAAGUCGGACUAAUACCGUAUGUUGUCCAUUGACGGCAUCCGAUUUGGACGAAAUGCUUGUCGGUGAAAGGAUGGGGAUGCGUCCGCUUAGCUUGACGGCUGGGUAACGGCCCACCGUGGCUACGAUCGGUAGGCGUUCUGAGAGGAAGGUCCCCCACACUGGAGCUGAGACACGGACCAGAAUCCUACGGGAGGCAGCAGUGAGGAAUAUUGGUCAAUGGGCGUAAGCCUGAACCAGCCAAGUAGCGUGCAGGAUGACGGCCCUAUGGGUUGUAAACUGCUUUUAUGCGGGGAUAAAGUGGCCCACGUGUGGGCUUUUGCAGGUACCGCAUGAAUAAGGACCGGCUAAUUCCGUG
rnacentral:rRNA from 1 species